GUAUUAGCUUUGGCAGUACAUGUACUAAAAUUGGAACAAUUAGAUUGGCCCCUAGCAAGGAUGACAUGCAAAUUUGUGAUGAGCCCAUACAGCUU
rnacentral:snRNA from 1 species